rnacentral:misc_RNA from 1 species
GAUGAAGAACGUAGCGAAAUGCGAUAAGUAAUGUGAAUUGCAGAAUUCAGUGAAUCAUCGAAUCUUUGAACGCACAUUGCGCCCGCCAGUAUUCUGGCGGGCAUGCCUGUCCGAGCGUCAUUUCAACCCUCGAACCCCUCCGGGGGGUCGGCGUUGGGGAUCGGCCCUGCCUCUUGGCGGUGGCCGUCUCCGAAAUACAGUGGCGGUCUCGCCGCAGCCUCUCCUGCGCAGUAGUUUGCACACUCGCAUCGGGAGCGCGGCGCGUCCACAGCCGUUAAACACCCAACUUCUGAAAUGUUGACCUCGGAUCAGGUAGGAAUACCCGCUGAACUUAAGCAUAUCAAUAAGUGGAGGA